rnacentral:lncRNA from 1 species
CUCUAAACGAACUGUUGUGUAAAUAUAGUAACGAUUUACAUUACCGUUCGCUCCUGAUGGAAGAAGAUAGCAGAAUAUUUUAAGUGUAUAAAUGGAUAUUAAACAGAAAUGGUUUGUAUGCCAGUUAGAUGUACAAAAGGUUACUGAUUGCAGGAUUAAACGCAUAGCUAGAGGUAUUCAGUAGUGUGGACAACAGCAAUACUUAUGCUGGUAAUGGUACUGAAUCAUUUAACUUAAACCUGUUUGUCAUCAGUUAUCGAUAGCAAUGAUUUUUGCUCACUCAGUCUGUCUGAAGCCUUCCAAUAGAGAGAAGAUAUCCCGUAUGAUAUAAAGAAAACCCCUCCUUCCUUUUGGUCACUCAAAGUACUAGUUCCCCUUUUUAGACCCCAAUGCACCAACAAAUCUGAAUAGAGUGAAUGAGUAACACGUAUUAUUUGAUUUAUGCGUUCAAGUACGAUGUGAUAAUCCAUCGGCGUUACAGAAAAAUGUUUGCCUAAUCUGGCCUAGGCAAUCGAUAACCUCAGCGCCAAGAAAUGGUCUCGUCCACACUGUUAUGAAAACAAUUCUAUUAUCAGCGUUAUUAUUUAAUCAAUGAAUCCAUAUAGUUUACGUUAGCUCUGAGACACUGUCCUGGUUGUCAUACGGUACCUACAUCUAUAUAAUAUGAUGCUAUAUAGGAGACCGACAUUGGUGUAUUAAUAAAGAUUUCUGGUAUAUAUGUUAGUUCAGCAGCCUUUCCUCUUAUUCAUUUCAGAUCUGAAGAUAUUAUAUUUAUAUAUAAAUAUGGGUUUUUUUUAUUUUAGUAUUGAUUGAUGCAUAUUUUUAUACGUGUAUUUAAUUUAUUCAUUUUGUACAUAUAGAGAGUGUGUUAGUGUGUGUUGUUUUUAAAUUUGUUGGGGUUUAAUGCAUUUAUAACUAUAAAGUUAUAUUUUU